CAAAAUAGCCUAAAAUUCCCCAGUAAACUUAAUUUGUGAAAAACGUUAGCUUGUUGCUAAAAUAGAAGUUAAACUACAAAAAUCUACUUUCUUAAUCGUUAAGAAAACACUAGGAAGACUUUUACAACAGAUUAGAAAGAUAUGACUUUAAAAGCUGAUUUUGAGCAUCACAACCUUUUAAAUUUUAUUCUUUAUCACCCAACAUUAAAGGAUGAUUACUCUGAGGAUCAACCGGUCAGCCAUGAAAGCAUCAAACAAAUGGAAAGCUUAACAAAUCAUCAACAUUUUACAGACUUUUGCAUUGAUGUAACACUCACUGAAUAAAUCACCGUUACCCCCACAAGUCACAUCCGUAGUUGACUAUCAACUAUUAUUAUGUAGCAUCGCUGUAUCAUUAACAUCCAGCUAAAGUGCAGUCUGCUGCAUUCAAAUUAGAUCCACAAAGUCUUUUCACUAAUUGUUCAUAAUGAAGUAGUUAAGUUCGUGUUUGUUUCAGUUUAUUCUAGUGAUCGGCUGAUAGAAAGAAGAAGAAGCAGUUUCUGUUCUACUUUCAUUUGCAUCUUAAAUCACAUCUGUUUCCAUCCCAGAAGUGGUUGCAUCAUGUGAUCUGGAGGUUGUGAUUACUUGAACGGGUCUGAUCCGGACGGUCGACCGUCGGUGCAGCAGGAACAGCUGGAGAGUUAGAAAUAAAGCGACGGUUCUGUGAAACGGUGUCAGACGGGUGUACGGGAUGUAUUUGGAUGUUUCGAUAUCUGUUCUCAGGAUCAGGGCGUUCUUUCCUGAAGACUGCCGACACCACUAUGGGAUUCUGCUGCACCAGGAACAAUGUUUUAGGACAGCUUUCACCAACCAACGCACUCUCCGGCAGCUUUGAUUGAUGAAUGAGGCGUCACCAUGGCAACCAGUGCGCGCGCGGAUGAUGAUGAGGGGAGCAUCUCUGUCUGGAUUAUUAGGACCACCUCGGGGUAGUGAGGAGGUUCUGGUCGUCCCAGGCUGCUGCCGACGCCCACUCUGCAGGUUAACGAGGUGAUGGAGCAGCUGACGGGAUCCUGUCACAGGUACAGGAUGGAGUUCAGCACAUCAAUGCAGGAGCUGCUCACCGCCGGAGGCUGCAGCUUAUAAUUACUGACACAUUUUGGUGGAAGAAUCACAGAAACUGCAGAGAGACUCUCAACCGAGCAGCUGAAGACAGAAAACUGUGAAGUGAGGUUAGCCAACAGCAGCUGUUUGAAGAGCAGAACCUGCACUUGAAUGAAAGAGACAUGAUUCGCUGUGUGGAACAUUUGAAGUACAGUCGGCUGCAACAGCAAGAAGUCUGUGUGGUUUACAGUGGAACUGCAGCGCCCUCUGCUGGACGAAAGACAAAAUGCAGAUUUUAGGCAAAAAGGUUUAGAUGCUUAAAAUCCACCCAAUCAUUUUCAGAAUGCUCUUUUUGACGCCAUGGGGUUGCUGGAGCCUAUCCCAACGAACAUGGAGCAUGUCUUAAACAGGUCAACAACACAUACACACCUAUAGGGACAAUUUAGAGACUCCAUUCAUCAGGUUUUGGACUGUAGGAUGAAAUGAGAUUUUAAAACUUUAGAAAUAUAACUUAACAUAAUUAUGAUCUAGAUAUUACCGGUGAUAAUGGUAGUGAUGAUAGCUGAAGAUGCUGAAAUUGAUAUAAAA